rnacentral:rRNA from 1 species
UACGUAGGGGGGCUAGCGUUGUCCGGAUUUAUUGGGCGUAAAGAGCGUGUAGGCGGCCAGAUAGGUCUGGUGUGAAAACUCGAGGCUUAACCUCGAGAUGUCAUCGGAAACCAUCUGGCUAGAGUCCGGAAGAGGAGAGUGGAAUUCCUGGUGUAGCGGUGAAAUGCGCAGAUAUCAGGAAGCACACCAAUGGCGAAAGCAGCUCUCUGGGACGGUACUGACGCUGAGACGCGAAAGCGUGGGGAGCGAACAGG